GGCGAGUGGCGAACGGGUGAGUAAUAUAUCGGAACGUGCCGGAGUGGGGGAUAACUAGUCGAAAGAUUAGCUAAUACCGCAUACGAUCUACGGAUGAAAGUGGGGGAUCGCAAGACCUCAUGCUCGUGGAGCGGCCGAUAUCUGAUUAGCUAGUUGGUGGGGUAAAAGCCUACCAAGGCAUCGAUCAGUAGCUGGUCUGAGAGGACGACCAGCCACACUGGGACUGAGACACGGCCCAGACUCCUACGGGAGGCAGCAGUGGGGAAUUUUGGACAAUGGGGGCAACCCUGAUCCAGCAAUGCCGCGUGAGUGAAGAAGGCCUUCGGGUUGUAAAGCUCUUUUGUCAGGGAAGAAACGGUUCUGGCUAAUAUCCGGAGCUAAUGACGGUACCUGAAGAAUAAGCACCGGCUAACUACGUGCCAGCAGCCGCGGUAAUACGUAGGGUGCGAGCGUUAAUCGGAAUCACUGGGCGUAAAGCGUGCGCAGGCGGUUGUGCAAGACAGAUGUGAAAUCCCCGGGCUCAACCUGGGAAUUGCAUUUGUGACUGUACGGCUAGAGUGUGUCAGAGGGGGGUAGAAUUCCACGCGUAGCAGUGAAAUGCGUAGAGAUGUGGAGGAAUACCGAUGGCGAAG
rnacentral:rRNA from 1 species